AUGCCCAGCCACAAAUUCGCCUGCCCCGAGGGUGUUCUUGACGCCCGAAUCAGCGAUGUUCGCCAUGUGGUCACCAUUGAGUCGAUUCGCCAGUUGUUUCGUCGCUCCGGUGAUGGAUAUGUGGUCUGCGCGUACGAGCGGGUGGUGGACGGGCUGUACGGCGUGGAGGCCUACGUCGAGUUCCGGUCCCGAUGGAGGGCGGCCCGAGCUCGAGAUGCCCUGGAUGGCCAUGCUAUCUACGAUGGCUGUUGCAUCCUUGCCAUCGACCUCGUCCCGCCGGUCUACACCACCACCACCAUGCCUGAUGACGACGGGAUGACACCCUCGUACUUCUACGACGACACUCCCUACGCGGAGUGGGCUGCAGCGUUGGCCGCGGUCGAGCGCCAUGAUGAGGCGCCCGCUACAUCCACCGACGACCUCCAAGUCGAGGCGUCCAUGAGCACCGUCGGCGCGACUCCGUCCGAGCUCGCCGCGCCUACGGCACCAACUCUGUCUACGACCGCUGACAACGCCGUCGUGGAGCUCAGUGAGAGCGACAAGGGGCUCAAAGUGGACGACACCAGCAACGCCGCUUCGACGCCCACCACCUGUUCGACGGGGUGUCCAAGCUGCGCCACGGCCGAGGAGUCGGCGCCCACCUCGUCUGCAGCAUUACCUUCAUCCAUGACCGUCAGCAACAUCCCUUCUGAGCUUGCUGCACCUGUAUGUGGCCUCUAUCAUAAUACUGACAGAGACGACCUAGUAGCGUCGUGCCUAGUUCCCUGGAGUGCACCUACAUCCUUCACAUUGCCUCAUGAAGCCUCUCCAAUGCCUCUGCGUUGGCUGUUCACUGUCAUUGAUCUGGAUAACUUUGCAAUCACCAAGUGUUCAACUGAUUGCCUCGACUACAACACCAGCAAUGACGUAGCUUCAGUUAUUGAGCAAAAGAUACAGUGUGCCUUUAAGAUCAACCAUUUGAAAAUUGCUUGGAGACUAGACUGGGAUGGAUAUGAACAUGAUUCUACAUAUGGUUCUGAGAAUUUUCUCAUAGAGUAUUUUGCUAGUAUAAUGCUACUAGAAGUACUCCCUCGACCUAAUAUUCACUUGACACUGAAGAUACUUGAUGCUGCACCUAUGAACACCAGUUUGAUUUUCUUGCUGGAAGAUAUUGAGUACAGACCUGUACCAUUGUCACGCUCUAUUCCUCAUGGUCACUGUGCUGGGGUGAUACAUGACCUUGAGGUUCUGAAUCCUUGGCCACAACCACUGUACCUGAGUAUUCUGGCGCUCAGUUCCUUCACAGGGGUCCCCUUUUAUGCUUCCAAACAAAUUCAGUGGGAAAUUGCUGGUGAUAUUUUCAAGAAAUUGUUGUUUCCCGGCAUGGGUGAGGAGAUCUGCUAUUGUGUUGGUGAUGUUACUGUUCGCCACUACUUCGACGGUGCAUUGUACCUUGAUCAAGUCUGUGCCGACCAAGACUACCACGACCAAGACUACCGCCUCCAUGUCAUUGUCGACCAAGUUCCUGUUGGUCAUGACGACGACUACAUUGUGACAAAAUUGAAUCAGUGGCCUACAAUUGGUCAACAAGGUGCUUUGUGUCUGAUUCUGGUUGCUGAUGUGCUCAUGUUACAAGACCUACAACUGGCUUGGGAUCCAGAUGAGAAGGUCCUUGAUUGGGUUCAGUUUGCAAUGCAAGUUCCUUGGGAUCCCAGUGGUUUGACAUGGAAUUGGCUUGAGGGCAAGCCGAAACUUAUGGAGAGGGGAUUGUCAGCGACCUUGCUAUGGGCCGGCCCUAUUCACCUCGACCUGGCCCAGAAGAUGGAUGGCCUCCAACUACAAAAGGCACACGGUUGCCCACGGAAGAGGCGGCUUGGACGGAAGGCUUCGGCCUGGCUGGCGAUCUCCCUCUCUGUAGCGUGUUCUUCCUCCUCUGUCUCCUCCCUUCCUCUGCUCCCUCCUGUAAUUCUCGAUUUGUAG
rnacentral:rRNA from 1 species